GACCGACCAUUCCAGGACUUUUCCGACUUCCGACCUUGUGUGGCGUCUCUCUGAACCCCCUCGACUGUCUGAGCUUCCAUAAUACCAUCCGGACUUCUCCAACAAUGAGCUUCUCCAUCCAUCUACCGAGCCACUCCAAAGGCUCUCUGGGCCUCACUAUCAGCCGACCUUCUACAGUGAUCAACUAUUCUCUGAACUUCUUUCGGACUUCGUC
rnacentral:lncRNA from 1 species